rnacentral:rRNA from 1 species
GACGAACGCUGGCGGCGCGCUUAAUACAUGCAAGUCGAACGAGAACCCCGGGCUUCGGCCUGGGGGAGAGUGGCGAACGGGUGCGUAACACGUGAGCAACCUGCCCCGGAGACCGGGAUAACUCGAGGAAACUCGGGCUAAUACCGGAUGUCCUCACCGGACCGCAUGAUCCGGUCAGGAAAUGGUCUGCCGCUCCGGGAUGGGCUCGCGGCCUAUCAGCUUGUUGGUGAGGUAACGGCUCACCAAGGCGACGACGGGUAGCUGGUCUGAGAGGACGAUCAGCCACACUGGGACUGAGACACGGCCCAGACUCCUACGGGAGGCAGCAGUAGGGAAUCUUGCGCAAUGGGGGCAACCCUGACGCAGCGACGCCGCGUGCGGGAUGAAGGCCUUCGGGUUGUAAACCGCUUUCAGCAGGGACGAAAUUGACGGUACCUGCAG